ACAAAGUCAGAUUAAAAGAGAUUAAGUUUAAUUUGGUCCACCCAACAAGUCAUAAAUUCUCCCACUAACUUCAUCAAGUCAUAAAGAGGACUCAAGAUAGGUUUACUAAGAGCACCUAAAUCAGUCAUACUGAUUUUUUAGUUAGCAUGAAUCAAUCCUAAUCAAUAAGUGAUCUAAUCAAAAUAUGAUUCACCACGUUGGUCAGGUAAGUG
rnacentral:lncRNA from 1 species